UACAGAGGGUGCGAGCGUUAAUCGGAAUUACUGGGCGUAAAGGGUGCGUAGGUGGUUUUGUAAGUUAGAUGUGAAAUUCCUGGGCUUAACCUGGGGACUGCGUCUGAUACUGCGAAGCUAGAGUACUGUAGAGGGAAGUGGAAUUUCCGGUGUAGCAGUGAAAUGCGUAGAUAUCGGAAGGAACAUCAGUGGCGAAGGCGACUUCCUGGACAGAUACUGACACUGAGGCACGAAAGCGUGGGGAGCAAACAGG
rnacentral:rRNA from 2 species